CAGGCUGCAACUACGCCUCGCAUGAAGUCGGAAUUGCUAGUAAUCGCAGAUCAGCAUGCUGCGGUGAAUACGUUCCCGGGCCUUGUACACACCGCCCGUCACACCAUGGGAGUCGGUAACACCCGAAGUCGGUAGCCUAACCGUAAGGAGGGCGCCGCCGAAGGUGGGAUUGAUGACUGGGGUGAAGUCGUAACAAGGUAGC
rnacentral:rRNA from 1 species